GUUUACAAUUCUUCCCCUUAUGUUUUGCUCCGUCGGUUCUUCUCCUUCUGUGCAGCUCUAUUCCAUUCCACGGGGCAUGUUGUUAUUUUUUUAGCGAUUAGGGUUAGAUUUUGAUGGGUUUGUUUUAGGAUCUAUGGCUCAUUUCAAUCUCUUCCUCCCAUAUUUCUCUGCAAAUGCGGAUUUUAGGGCGUCGUUCGUGAUUCUUUGUUGCUGGCGUUUUCAGCUCCUAAGGAUUAUUGGCGUAGAUCUUGGUUGGCUUUGGUGUGGGCCGACAAAUUUGUCUCGGCUGCAAAUUAGCCUGCAUUGUUGUUAGCAAGACAGGUCUUUUUGAACUGAUUGGGCUAGCCGGAGAUACUAAUAUUCAGGGUGAAGAGCAUAAUAAAUAGGAUGUAUUUCCAAAUGAAGUUUUGCGUUAAGGCUUUGAUCAGCAGUGGAUGCACAAUAUGUUAUUUUUUUGGCUUUUGGGUUCAUUAUGAGUUAGUGACUUAAAGGAAGUGGGAUACAGUUUAAUUUGAAGUUUUGAAAUCAAUUGCUGCUGUUAGACAAAUGACAAAUUUUUGUGUCCAGAUAUUCCCCAUUUUCAUUUAGUUAAAUGCACCUAUAGGCUGUCAUUUCUUUUGGUCUAUUGGAUUCGAUUUUUUAAAAUGAAUUUUUUUUUGGCAAUCAAACUGACCAUUACA